rnacentral:rRNA from 1 species
GUCUACAGCCAUGCGACUCUGAACGUGCUCGACCUUGUCUGAUCUCAGAAGCUAAGCAGGGUCGGGCCUGGUUAGUACUUGGAUGGGAGACCACCUAGGAAUACUGGUGCUGUAGGCA